AACCUGGUUGAUCCUGCCAGUAGUCAUAUGCUUGUCUUAAAGAUUAAGCCAUGCAUGUCUAAGUAUAAGCAUUUAUACCGCGAGACUGCGAACGGCUCAUUAAAACAGUUAUGGUUUAUUUGAUGGUUUCUGCUACUUGGAUAACCGUAGUAAUUCUAGAGCUAAUACAUGCACGAAGGGACGACUUUGAAGUCCUGUGUUUAUUAGAUUAAAGCCGACCACCUUCGGGUGCUUUGGUGAAUCAUAGUAACCUAUCGGAUCGAUGGCUUUAUGCCACGACGUGUCAUUCAAAUUUCUGCCCUAUCAGCUUUAGAUGGUAGGAUAUGGGCCUACCAUGGCGGUGACGGGUAACGGAGAAUUAGGGUUCGAUUCCGGAGAGGGAGCCUGAGAAACGGCUACCACUUCUAAGGAAGGCAGCAGGCGCGCAAAUUACCCAAUCCUGACUCAGGGAGGUAGUGACAAGAAAUAACAAUAGUUCGGCCCUAGUGCCAAACUAAUUGGAAUGAGUACAAUUUAAACAUCUUAACGAGGAACAAUUGGAGGGCAAGUCUGGUGCCAGCAGCCGCGGUAAUUCCAGCUCCAAUAGC
rnacentral:rRNA from 1 species